UCUUUCCACACUAUUGGCAGGUGAAACACUUCUCUCCCGUGUUAAUUCUCAUGUGGCGCUCAAGGUUUCCUUUUUCAGUGAAGCUCUUCCCACACUGUUUGCAGACAAGAGGCUUCUCUCCAGUGUGAAUUCUCAUGUG